ACGAACGCUGGCGGCGUGCUUAACCCAUGCCAGUCGAACGGUGAAGCGCCUUCCUUUUUGGUGGGUGUGGAUGAGUGGCGAACGGGUGAGUAACACGUGAGUAACCUGCCCCCUUCUUCUGGAUAACCGCAUGAAAGUGUGGCUAAUACGGGAUAUUCUGGGUCUGUCGCAUGAUGGGUCUGGGAAAGAUAUUGUUUCGGUGGGGGAUGGGCUCGCGGCCUAUCAGCUUGUUGGUGGGGUGAUGGCCUACCAAGGCGGUGACGGGUAGCCGGCCUGAGAGGGUGGACGGUCACACUGGGACUGAGACACGGCCCAGACUCCUACGGGAGGCAGCAGUGGGGAAUAUUGCACAAUGGGCGCAAGCCUGAUGCAGCGACGCCGCGUGAGGGAUGGAGGCCUGCGGGUUGUGAACCUCUUUCGCCAGUGAAGCAGGCCUGCCUCGUUUGUGGGUGGGUUGACGGUAGCUGGAGAAGAAGCGCCGGCUAACUACGUG
rnacentral:rRNA from 1 species